rnacentral:rRNA from 1 species
GAUCCUGGCUCAGGAUGAACGCUGGCGGCGUGCUUAACACAUGCAAGUCGAGCGAAGCACUUAAGUUUGAUUCUUCGGAUGAAGACUUUUGUGACUGAGCGGCGGACGGGUGAGUAACGCGUGGGUAACCUGCCUCAUACAGGGGGGAUAACAGUUAGAAAUGGCUGCUAAUACCGCAUAAGACCACAGUACUGCAUGGUACAGUGGUAAAAACUCCGGUGGUAUGAGAUGGACCCGCGU